rnacentral:rRNA from 1 species
GAUGAACGCUGGCGGCGUGCUUAACACAUGCAAGUCGAGCGAGAAGUUUUGAAAAGAUUCUUCGGAUGAAAUUUAAAAUGGAAAGCGGCGGACGGGUGAGUAACGCGUAGGCAACCUGCCCCAUACAAAGGGAUAGCAUUUGGAAACGAAUAUUAAUACCUUAUGAAACUUAACUAGUGCAUGCUAGGUAGGUCAAAGAUUUAUCGGUAUGGGAUGGGCCUGCGUCUGAUUAGCUAGUUGGUGAGGUAACGGCUCACCAAGGCGACGAUCAGUAGCCGACCUGAGAGGGUGAACGGCCACAUUGGAACUGAGGCACGGUCCAAACUCCUACGGGAGGGAGCAGUGGGGAAUAUUGCACAAUGGGGGAAACCCUGAUGCAGCAACGCCGCGUGAACGAUGAAGGCCUUUGGGUCGUAAAGUUCUGUUCUAGGAGAUGAAAACUGACAGUAACCUAGGAGAAAGCCCCGGCUAACUCCGUG